AGUGGCGAACGGGUGAGUAACACGUGAGCAACCUGCCCCUGACUCUGGGAUAAGCGCUGGAAACGGCGUCUAAUACUGGAUAUGUGACGUGAUCGCAUGGUCUGCGUCUGGAAAGAAUUUCGGUUGGGGAUGGGCUCGCGGCCUAUCAGCUUGUUGGUGAGGUAAUGGCUCACCAAGGCGUCGACGGGUAGCCGGCCUGAGAGGGUGACCGGCCACACUGGGACUGAGACACGGCCCAGACUCCUACGGGAGGCAGCAGUGGGGAAUAUUGCACAAUGGGCGCAAGCCUGAUGCAGCAACGCCGCGUGAGGGAUGACGGCCUUCGGGUUGUAAACCUCUUUUAGCAGGGAAGAAGCGAAAGUGACGGUACCUGCAGAAAAAGCGCCGGCUAACUACGUGCCAGCAGCCGCGGUAAUACGUAGGGCGCAAGCGUUAUCCGGAAUUAUUGGGCGUAAAGAGCUCGUAGGCGGUUUGUCGCGUCUGCUGUGAAAUCCGGAGGCUCAACCUCCGGCCUGCAGUGGGUACGGGCAGACUAGAGUGCGGUAGGGGAGAUUGGAAUUCCUGGUGUAGCGGUGGAAUGCGCAGAUAUCACGAGGAACACCGAUGGCGAAGGCAGAUCUCUGGGCCGUAACUGACGCUGAAGAGCUAAAUGGUGGGGAGCAAACAGGCUUAGAUACCCUGGUAGUCCACCCCGUAAACGUUGGGAACUAGUUGUGCGGUCCAUUCCACGGAUUCCCUGACGCACCUGACGCAUUAAGUUCCCGCCUGGGGAGUACGGCCGCAAGGCUAAAACUCAAAGGAAUUGACGGGGACCCGCACAAGCGGCGGAGCAUGCGGAUUAAUUCGAUGCAACGCGAAGAACCUUACCAAGGCUUGACAUAUACGAGAACGGGCCAGAAAUGGUCAACUCUUUGGACACUCGUAAACAGGUGGUGCAUGGUUGUCGUCAGCUCGUGUCGUGAGAUGUUGGGUUAAGUCCCGCAACGAGCGCAACCCUCGUUCUAUGUUGCCAGCACGUAAUGGUGGGAACUCAUGGGAUACUGCCGGGGUCAACUCGGAGGAAGGUGGGGAUGACGUCAAAUCAUCAUGCCCCUUAUGUCUUGGGCUUCACGCAUGCUACAAUGGCCGGUACAAAGGGCUGCAAUACCGUGAGGUGGAGCGAAUCCCAAAAAGCCGGUCCCAGUUCGGAUUGAGGUCUGCAACUCGACCUCAUGAAGUCGGAGUCGCUAGUAAUCGCAGAUCAGCAACGCUGCGGUGAAUACGUUCCCGGGUCUUGUACACACCGCCCGUCAAGUCAUGAAAGUCGG
rnacentral:rRNA from 1 species